UGCUGCAGUUCAUGGGGUCACAAUGUCAAACACAACUUAGCAACUGAGUAACAAUUGAGUCCUACAAAAAUUAGUGACCUCAUUCCAAUUCUGGCAUCUGUGAAGGAAUAAAUCUCAUGACUUUGCUUCCUUAGUGUAUGUGAGUGGUAACUGUACCUUCAAUCAAAAUGACUGAGAUUUUCCCUUCUUCAAGGUGGGAGCUUGGAAGCUGAGGGAGCUGACUUCUAACACCAUGUAAGCCAAGUAAGAGGAAAGGAUGAAACCGGCUAAGACACAGGAGCUAUCCUUCCAGCCAGGAACUCAGGGGAAUUCCAUCAUCUCAAAACUUUCCUGACUCCACAGUGUCACAGGCAGAAAAGGACACUCAAGAAGCCUGAAAAUGAAAGCCGCUGCCGCCUGCUGGGAUCAGGUCUCACA